UACGGAGGAUCCAAGCGUUAUCCGGAAUUACUGGGCGUAAAGAGUUGCGUAGGCGGCAAAGUAAGCAGAGCAUGAAAGCGUGUGGCUCAACCAUACAGCUAUGUUCUGAACUACUUAGCUAGAGGACGAGAGAGGUAACUGGAAUUCCUAGUGUAGGAGUGAAAUCCGUAGAUAUUAGGAGGAACACCGAUGGCGUAGGCAGGUUACUGGCUCGUUCCUGACGCUCAGGCACGAAAGCGUGGGGAGUGAACUGG
rnacentral:rRNA from 1 species